AGCAACGCGAAGAACCUUACCAAAUCUUGACACCUUUGACAACUCUAGAGAUAGAGCUUUUCCCCUUCGGGGGACAAAGCGACAGGUGGUGAUGGUUGUCGUCAGCUCGUGUCGUGAGAUGUUGGGUUAAGUCCCGCAACGAGCGCAACCUUAAGCUUAGUUGCCAUCAUUAAGUUGGGCACUCUAAGUUGACUGCCGGUGACAAACCGAGGAAGGUGGGGGUGACGUCCAAAUAUCAUGCCCCCUUAUGAUUUGGCUACACACGUGCACAAUGGACAAUACAAAGGGCAGCGAAACCGCGAGGUCAAGCAAAUCCCCUAAAGUUGUCUCAGUUCGGAUUGUAGGUCUGCAACUCGACUACAUGAAGCUGGAAUCGCUAGUAAUCGUAGAUCAGCAUGCUACGGUGAAUACGUCCCGGGGUCUUGUACACACCGCCCGUCACACCACGAGAGUUUGUAACACCCGAAGCCGGUGGAGUAACCAUUGGAGCUAGCCGUCGAAGGUGGACAAAUGAUUGGGUGAAGUCGUAACAAGGUAGCCGUAUCGGAAGGUGCGGCUGGAUCACUCCUUUCU
rnacentral:rRNA from 1 species